rnacentral:rRNA from 1 species
AUGGACUUCCACGCGCUCCCCCGCCGCGACCUCCAGGCCCUGGCCAAGCGCAACGGCGUCCGCGCCAACCUGAGCAACGCCGCCAUCGCCGACGCCCUCGCGGCGCUCCCCGCGGUCGACGGGAUCGAGGAGUACGUCGAGCAGCCGGUCGUUGUCGAAGUGGCCAAGCCGGCGGUUCAGGCGGUUGUGGAGGAGGUGAAGAAGAAGAAGACGAAGAAGCAGGAGGCGGAGGAGAAAGAGAAGAAGAGGAAGAAGCAGGAGGAGGAGAUCUCGCUGGAGGUCAUCUUACUGGUGGACAGCGAGGAAGAGGAGGAAGAGAAAGCCCCAGCCGCCGGGCGCGGUCGCGGUCGCGGAAGAGGACGCGGACGCGGACGCGGUGCCGGCGGGCGCGCACGGGUCGAGCCUGUGGCUGCUCCAGCCACGAGGAAAAGGGCUGCGGCAAGCAAGACUGAAACGGAGGAUGCACCUGCGGAGCCCGUGGCGGCUCCGGCCACAAGGAAAAGGGCUGCGGCAAGCAAGACCGAGACAGAUGAUACCGCUGCGGAGGCCGUGCCGGCCCGUGCCACUCGCGCUCGGAGCCAGACGACGGCGGCGCCCGUCGCCGAGGAAGAGGCGCCCAAGACAAGACGGGCGUCGAGGCGGACCGCGGCGACCAAGACUGGUACGCAGCAGGAAGAAGAAGGAAAGGGGACGCAAGCUGUCGCCUCUGAAAUGGAAACUGCGGAAAUGGAAGAAGAUGCCACGAAUCCUCAGAACGAGGAGCAAAACGAGGUUGAGGAACAGAGCCAGAACGGCCAAGGGGUUGUAGUCGAGGAUGCACCAGCACAGGUGCAAGAAGAACCACCAGUGGAGAAGGAGGACGACGGUAGGCAAGAAUCUCCUGCCAUUGGCGCGGGGAGGCGAGGUGGCAGACGACGCGCACGGCCCGAGCCUGUGGCGUCUCCGGCUACCAGGAAAAAGGCUGCAACAAGGAAGACCGUGACAUGGGAUGAUGCUCCGGCUGCAGAGGCCGUGCCGGCUCGGGCCACCCGUCGCGCUCGGAGCCAGACGACAGUGACUGAGGAGGCGCCCAAGGGAAGACGGGCGUCGAGGAGGACUGCUGCGCAGCAGGAAGAGGAAGGGGAAGACCAGCAAGCCGUUGCCUCUGAUGCGGAAGCUGCUGCGCCUGCGCCGGUUUCCUCGGACGAAGCAGCUGGUGAUGCUGCAGAAAUGGAGGAAGAAGCCACGAAUCCGCAGGAACAGUUUGAGGAAGAACCACCGGUGGAGAAGGAGGAGAAAUCGCCUGCCGUUCGCGUGGGACGGCGCGGUGCCCGCGGGCGCCCACGGGCCGAUCCUGUGGCGGCUCCGGCUACGAGGAAAAGGGCCGCAACAAGCAAGACCGAGACAGAGGAGGCGCCCGUGGAGGCCGCGCCGGCUCGGACCACUCGUCGUGCUCGGGGCCAGACCACGGUCGUUCCGGUGGCCGAGGAAGUCGCGCCCAAGACAAGACGGACGUCGAGGAGGGCUCCGGCGAGGAAGACUGGUACACAGCAGGAAGAGGAAGGGGAAGGCCAGCAAGCAGCCGUUGUCGAAACUGUUGCGCCUGCGCCGGUUUCCUCUGACGAGGGAGCUGACGAUGCUGCAGCAAUGGAAGCAGCCAUGGAUCCUCAGACUGAGGAGCAAAACGAGCUAGUUGAGCAAAACAAUGAACUUGAGACAGGUGAUGAUAUGGAAACUGCUGUACCUACUGAAGAAACAGAAAGGGAGGCCAUGGAUCUUCAGAACGAAGAGCAAAACAAUCUGGUUGAGGACCAGUGUCAGGAAGAUGCAGGUGGUGUGCCUGAUAUGGAAACAGCACCAGUUUCCUCUGACGAGGAAGAUGAUGAUACUGAAGAGAUAGAAGAAGAGGCCGUGGAUCCUCAGAACGGUGAGCAAAAGGAGCUGCUGGUUGAGGAACAGGGCCAGGAAGAGGAGCACGAGACAGGUGAUGUCCCUGAUAUGGAAAGUGCACCGGUUUCCUCAGACGAGGGACAUGAUACUACUGCAGUAAUGGAAGAAGAGGCCAUGCAUCUUGAGAACGAAGAGCAAAAGGAGCUGCUGGUUGAGGAGCCGAGCCAGGAAGAUGCAGGUGAUGUGCCUUCUAUGGAAACUGCACAGGUUUCCUCUGACGACGAAAAUGAUGAUACUGAAGAAAUAGAAGAGGAGCAGGGUCAGGAAGACGAAGGUCGUGUGGAAACUGCUGUGCCGGUUUCUUCAGACGAGGCAAGUGGUGGUACUGAAGAAAUGGAAGAAGAGGACCAGCAAGCUGUUGUUUCUGAUGCGGAAACUGUUGCGCUUUCCUCGGACGAAGGAGCUGGUGAUGCUGCAGAGCUGGAAGCAACCAUGGAUGCUCAGAACGAGGAGCAGAACGAGCUAGUUGUGGAGCAGGGCCAGGAAGACGAAGGUGAUGUCCUUGACAUGGAAACUGCUGUGCCUGGACCGGCAACCUCAGACGAGGGAAGUGAUGAUGACGCUGAAGAAAUGGAAGCAGCCAUGGAUCCUCAGGCCGAUGAGCAAAAUGAGCUAGUUGAGGAACAGGAUCAGGAAGAAGAAGGGUUGGCCUCGGAUAUGCAAACCAGUCCCGAACUAGUGGAAGAACCAGCACCAGUGGCAGAAGAUUGCAGUUCAUCAGUGGAAGAGCAGCAGGACGAUGUCCAGCAGUGUGAGCAGUCUCCAGUCGCCCAGAAUGUUGUUGAUCAGGAAGGCCAUUUCCCGGCUGAAACUGUCUCCAGCGAGGGGCCACUGGACGUGGAGAUUCAUCAUGCCGGUGAGGCCGCUGAGGACGCUGAGGAUCAUCAGACGGAAAUUGUGCCCGUGGAAGCGCCGGAAUCCGGUGAGUCCACUGAGGAAGCUGAGGAGCAUCAGUCCACUGAAGAGACUGAAAUGGUGCCGGUGGAAGCGCCGGAAUCCGGUGAGGCCACUGACGAAGCUGAGGAGCAUCAGUCCACUGAAGAGACUGAAAUGAUGGUGCCCAUGGAAGCGCCGGAAUCCGGUGAGGCCACUGACGAAGCUGAGGAGCAUCAGUCCACUGAAGAGACUGAAAUGAUGGUGACCAUGGAAGAGACCGCUGAGGAAGUUGAGGAGAUUCAGCAGUCCAGUGAAGAGACUGAAAUGGUGCCCGUUGAGGAAGCUGAGGAGGUUCAUCAUUCCAGGGAAGAGACAGAAAUGGUGCCCGUUGAGGAAGCUGAGAAGAUUCAUCAGUCCAGUGAAGAGACGGAAAUGGUGCCCGUGGCCGAGUCGGCGGCUCAGGCCGCUGACAAAGCUGAGCAGAUUCAUCAGUCGAGUGAAGAGACCGAAAUGGUGCCCGUGGACUCACCGGUGCCGCAGGAGGUUGGUUUCACCUGCCAUGCAGACACUGCCAUUGAGGAGGAGAAUGAAGUGCUUCAGAGUGCAGCCAAAGCCAAUGAGGAGAAGGAAGACCUGGUUGUCGAAGAGGAGGAGAGUGAAGUGCUGUUUGGUGCUCUUUUCCAGAGCGCAGCCAAGACCAGUGAGAACAAGGAUGAGCUGGCUGUUGAAGAGUUGUUGCAGCAUGACAUGGAUGAGGCUGCUGCAGAGGAUGACAAUGAAGUUUCAGUCCUUGGUGCUCUGUUCCAGAGCGCAGCCAAAGGCAAUCAGAACAAGGGAGAUGUUGAAGAGCUGCAGCAUAACACCAUGGAUGAGGCUGUUGAAGAGGACAAUGAUGUGCCAAUCCUUGGUGCUCUGUUCCAGAGCGCAGCCAAAACAAAUGAGAACAAGGAACGUCUGGGUCUUGAGUCUGCUGCAGAGGAGGCGGCGAAUGAGGUGCCAUUCUUUGGUGCCCUGUUCCAGAGCGCAGCCAAGUCCAGUGAGAACAAGAAACAUCUGGCUGUUGAGGAGAAUGAGGUGCCAUUCUUUGGUGCUCUGUUUCAGAGCGCAGCCAAGUGCAACGAGAACCAGACCGCAGCCAAAACAAAUGAGAACAAGGAACAACAACUGGUUGUUGAUGAGGUGCAGUAUAACUUGGAUGAGUGUGUUGCAGAGGAGGGGAAUGAGGAAGAUAUGGCUGUCUUUGGUGCCCUGUUUCAGAGCGCAGCCAAGUCCAGUGAGAACAAGGAACAUUUGGUUCUUGAUGAGGUGAAGCAUGCCAUGGAUAAUGAGUCUGUUGCAGAGGAUGAGAAUGAGGUGGCAUUCUUUGGUGCUCUGUUUCAGAGCGCGGCCAAGUCCAAUGAGAAGAAGAAGAAAUAUCUGGUUGUUGAUGAGUGUGCUCAAGAGGAAGACAGUGAGGUGCCAUUCUUUGGUGCUCUGUUUCAGAGUGCAACCAAGGCAACCAAGAACAAGAAUCAUCUGAUUGUUGGUGAGGCGGAGCAGCAUAACAUGGACGAGGAGUCUGUUCAAGAAGAGGAGCAAGAUAUGGCUGUUGAUGAGUUGCAGCAUAUCAAGUCUGUUGAGGAGGAGAACGAUGAAGAUCAGACAACCUUGGCUGCUUGGCUGCUGCUUCACAGAGCAGCCAAGACCGCUGAAGGCAAGGAAGACCUGAUUGUUGAUGAGGUGCAGCAUGACACAGAAGAGCAUGUUGAAGAGGAGCCAAAGAAGGAGAGUGUUGAGGAAUCGGUCACCGUCAACCUCCUGUCGCAAACCACUGUAAGAGAGGAGAGUGGCAUCGCCAGUGAGCUGAGAAAUGUGCCCGUCGAGGAGGACGACGGUGGCAUGGUGGCCGCCGAUGAGAUGCCACUCAGCUCAGCCACAAUGUUUGAGGGCGCUGUACAAGUGAUCACCGUCGAGAACCUGUCGCAAGCCACAGUAACUGACGAUGAGGGUGCAGUCAAGGGCGGCCUCGCAGAUGUGUCCGUUGAAGAGGUGCUCAUCGUCGACAACCUGUCGCAGGCCACGGUGACUGAUGGUGAAUGGGCAGCCAGGGAGUGUGCUUUUUCCACCGGCAACCUCACACCGGUCGUCGACACUGCCAAGGACAUGGUGACCGUCGACUACCUGUCGCAGGCCACAGUGACAGAUGACGAAUGGGCAGUCAAGGAGAGCGCUUUCGCCGGUGACCGCUCACCGGUGUUCGACGCUGCCGGAGACUGCAGUGGUCACGUCAUUUCGCCCCUGUUUGCAGGCCUGUUUGAGGAUGCCACCAAGUUCCUAUCCAUGGAUUCCAUCACUGUGGAGGCAACGGUCUCUGAAGCUGCUGUUGAGAAGAACAUCACUGUGGAGGCAACGGUGUCUGAAGCUGCUGCUGAGAAGAACGUUGCUGAACCUGUGGCAAUGGAACAAGAGAAGGAAGUGAAGGAGGAAAGCAACGAAUCUGAAGCAUUGGGCAGCUUGAGCCUGAGGAAGCUUAGGGUCCAGCUCAAGGAGAAGGCGGCAGCGGCACAAGAGAAUGAAGUGAGGGAGGGUGAGAAAUCAUCUGUGCCACUGGAUAAGCUUAGCCUACGGAGGCUCAAACUGAAGCUCAGGGAGACGCUGAUUGCUCACAAGAACAGAGAAGCAAACAGAGUGCCCCUUGGAAGGUUAGACCAGACGCUGAAUUCAGCUCACAAGAACAGAGAGCCGACUAGGGUGCCCCUCCUCGGCAGGUUGGACGAGAACUCGGCGUCUCAGUUGCAGAAGAGGGAGCCCAAUAGGGUGCCCCUCGGCAGGCUGGACGACAACUCGGCGUCGAAGAUGCAGCACAGAGAGCCGAAUUCGGCGUCGAAAAUGCAGAACAGGGAGCCGUAUUCAGCGUCGAAAAUGCAGAAGAGGGAGCCGAAUUCAGCGUCGAAAAUGCUGAGCAGAGAACCUAUCAGGAUGCGCCUCGGAAGGCUGGACGAGAACGCGUGUUGA